rnacentral:rRNA from 1 species
AUUGAACGCUGGCGGCAGGCCUAACACAUGCAAGUCGAACGAGUGGCGGACGGGUGAGUAAUGUCUGGGAAACUGCCUGAUGGAGGGGGAUAACUACUGGAAACGGUAGCUAAUACCGCAUACCAUCAGAUGUGCCCAGAUGGGAUUGGAUUGUUGGUGGGGUAACGGCUCACCAAGGCGACGAUCCCUAGCUGGGAUGAGAGGAUGACCAGACACACUGGAACGUAGACACGGUCCAGACUCCUACGGGAGGCAGCAGUGGGUAAGAUUGAACAAUGGGCGCAAGCCUGAUGCAGCCAUGCCGCGUGUAUGAAGAAGGCCUUCGGGUUGUAAAGGACUUUCAGCGGGGAGGCGUUACCCGCAGAAGAAGCACCGGCUAACUCCGUGCCAGCAGCCGCGGUAAUUC